UUAAAAUAUAUGAAGCUAAGAUGGUUUUAAAAAUGAGAGUUUUAAAAUGUGAGGGGAAAUGCAGAAAAUUUAACUAAAUUCAUUUUGAAAGGGGUAAACAUAUGAAACCCUAAAAGCAACACAAGUACAGAAACAUGAAUAUUGUUUGAUGUGCUGCAACAACACUAAUGUUUAUUAUUUAGACAUGUCUUUAUUCAAAUAAAGCACUGCGUCCCCUCUGUUACCUGUUUAUAAGUUGUAGCUGCAGUGAUCCUAAAGCAGCUGAAGUGUCUAAUCAUUAACAUGCUUGUUUGUUGAUGCUGAGUCUCCUCAGUAACACCUAAACCUUUUAAAGUUUCUUACAAAUCUUUAAACCAACCUCUCCAGAUCUUCAUACACUAUCUGGUGGUUUUAUCUUUAAACGUGUUCAAUAUUGUUCCUUUAAAUCUGGAUUUAAGAAGAGACCGAUUCCUGAUAAUGCCCAACAAAGCACAGGAGGUAAGCUCUUUUCCCUUUUUGUGAAUCUCAGAUCGGUGCAAGGCAUUCCUCGUGCGGGUUUGUUUUUCUCUCAGGACGCCGUCAUUAACCUGAAGACACUGCAGGAGAUUUCCAGCCAGCUCUGUUUUGAGUGGACGGUUCUGGCGUAUGAGCUUGGCUUCAGCAGAGCUGAAAUAGGCCGGUUCCACACCAAAUCCACAGAGAAGACCGUGCAGGCAAAAACCAUGUUGGAAAGCUGGUAUGAGAGGUCAUGGGACAAGCCGAAUAAGACCAAACUGUUGCAGGAUGGCCUGGAGCGAGCAGGCAGAUGUGAUCUGGCUGAGAAACUGCGCUGUCUCCACUGGGGUCACCAGAAGCUGAGCAAAAAAGUGGAGCUUCCCUCUGCAUUCCCCUUCAUUGUCACAGUUCACAAGACCAUUCGAAACCGUGAUGCUCUGAGCAGAAUCAAUGACCUGAGCCGCAGAUUCACCUAAAACCUAAAGCUAUAGAUGUUAACAUCAAAUUUUUGUAAAGUUGACAUACAYCAAACCCAGUUUUGUUAUGGCGACUCAGAAUUACAACUUAAUGAAAACAAAUGUUUUGKUGUUAUUGCUGAAAUGUGGAUGGUGUGUAUUUAAUAAAUCACCGACAAUAAAAGUUAUAUGUARUAUUGUAAA